rnacentral:rRNA from 1 species
CGAAGGACCCAAGCGUUAUCCGGAUUCAUGGGUUAAAGGUGCGUAGGCGGAUUGAUAAGUCAGUGGUGAAAUCUACCGGGCUUAACCCGGAAACUGCCAUUGAUACUGUCGAUCUUGAAUAUGGUUGAUGUGGGCGGAAUAUGACAUGUAGCGGUGAAAUGCUUAGAUAUGUCAUAGAACACCGAUUGCGAAGGCAGCUCACAAAGCCAUUAUUGACGCUGAGGCACGAAAGUGCGGGGAUCAAACAGGAUUAGAUACCCUGGUAGUCCGCACCGUAAACGUUGAUAACUCGCUGUUAGCGAUACACAGUUAGCGGCUAAGCGAAAGCGUUAAGUUAUCCACCUGGGGAGUACGAUCGCAAGAUUG